CGAACGGGUGAGUAAUACAUCGGAACGUGCCCUGUUGUGGGGGAUAACUAGUCGAAAGAUUAGCUAAUACCGCAUACGACCUGAGGGUGAAAGCGGGGGACCGGUAACGGCCUCGCGCAAUAGGAGCGGCCGAUGUCUGAUUAGCUAGUUGGUGGGGUAAAGGCCUACCAAGGCGACGAUCAGUAGCUGGUCUGAGAGGACGAUCAGCCACACUGGGACUGAGACACGGCCCAG
rnacentral:rRNA from 1 species